rnacentral:rRNA from 1 species
UACGAAGGGUGCAAACGUUGCUCGGAAUUAUUGGGCGUAAAGCGCGUGUAGGCGGCCAGGUAGGUCCGAUGUGAAAUCUGGAGGCUCAACCUCCAGCGGUCAUUGGAAACCAUCUGGCUAGAGUCCGGAAGAGGAGAGUGGAAUUCCUGGUGUAGCGGUGAAAUGCGCAGAUAUCAGGAAGAACACCAAUGGCGAAGGCAGCUCUCUGGGACGGUACUGACGCUGAGACGCGAAAGCGUGGGGAGCGAACAGG